CCUACGGGUGGCAGCAGUGGGGGAUAUUGCACAAUGGGGGAAACCCUGAUGCAGCGACGCCGCGUGGGUGAAGAAGUCUUUCGGUAUGUAAAGCCCUAUCAGCAGGGAAGAAAGAAGACGGUACCUGACUAAGAAGCCCCGGCUAACUACGUGCCAGCAGCCGCGGUAAUACGUAGGGGGCGAGCGUUAUCCGGAUUCACUGGGUGUAACGGGAGUGUAGACGGCCGUGCAAGCCAGGGGUGAAGGCCCGGGGCCCAAGGCCGGGACUGCUCUUGGAACUGUGCGGUGGGAGUGCGGGAGGGGCAGGCGGAAUUCGUGGUGUAGCGGUGAAAUGCGUAGAUAUCAGGAAGAACACCGACGGUGAAGGCAGCCUGCUGGACCGCAACUGACGUUGAGGCUCGAAAGCGUGGGGAGCGAACAGGAUUAGAUACCCCAGUAGUC
rnacentral:rRNA from 1 species